UACAGAGGGGGGCGAGCGUUGUUCGGAAUUACUGGGCGUAAAGGGCGCGUAGGCGGCCUUCUAAGUCGAACGUGAAAUCCCCGGGCUCAACCCGGGAACUGCGUCCGAUACUGGGAGGCUGAAUCCGGGAGAGGGAUGUGGAAUUCCAGGUGUAGCGGUGAAAUGCGUAGAUAUCUGGAGGAACACCGGUGGCGAAGGCGGCAUCCUGGACCGGUAUUGACGCUGAGGCGCGAAAGCCAGGGGAGCAAACGGG
rnacentral:rRNA from 1 species